rnacentral:rRNA from 1 species
GAUGAACGCUGGCGGCGUGCCUAAUACAUGCAAGUCGAGCGAACAGACGAGGAGCUUGCUCCUCUGACGUUAGCGGCGGACGGGUGAGUAACACGUGGAUAACCUACCUAUAAGACUGGGAUAACUUCGGGAAACCGGAGCUAAUACCGGAUAAUAUAUUGAACCGCAUGGUUCAAUAGUGAAAGACGGUUUUGCUGUCACUUAUAGAUGGAUCCGCGCCGCAUUAGCUAGUUGGUAAGGUAACGGCUUACCAAGGCAACGAUGCGUAGCCGACCUGAGAGGGUGAUCGGCCACACUGGAACUGAGACACGGUCCAGACUCCUACGGGAGGCAGCAGUAGGGAAACUUCCGCAAAGGGCGAAAGCCUGACGGAGCAACGCCGCGUGAGUGAUGAAGGUCUUCGGAUCGUAAAACUCUGUUAUUAGGGAAGAACAAAUGUGUAAGUAACUAUGCACGUCUUGACGGUACCUAAUCAGAAAGCCACGGCUAACUACGUG